rnacentral:piRNA from 1 species
UAGGGAAAAUGCUCUGGGUGGCCAUGAGCAGU